rnacentral:rRNA from 1 species
GUGAGGAAUAUUGGUCAAUGGGCGGGAGCCUGAACCAGCCAAGUCGCGUGAAGGAAGAAGGAUCUAUGGUUCGUAAACUUCUUUUGCAGGGGAAUAAAGUGCAGGACGUGUCCUGUUUUGUAUGUACCCUGAGAAUAAGGAUCGGCUAACUCCGUGCCAGCAGCCGCGGUAAUACGGAGGAUCCGAGCGUUAUCCGGAUUUAUUGGGUUUAAAGGGUGCGUAGGUGGUUUGAUAAGUCAGCGGUGAAAGUUUGCAGAUUAACUGUAAAAAUGCCGUUGAAACUGUCGGACUUGAGUGUAAAUGAGGUAGGCGGAAUGCGUGGUGUAGCGGUGAAAUGCAUAGAUAUCACGCAGAACUCCGAUUGCGAAGGCAGCUUACUAAGCUACAACUGACACUGAAGCACGAAAGCGUGGGGAUCAAACAGGAUUAGAAACCCCUGUAGUCC